UACAGAGGGUGCAAGCGUUGUUCGGAAUUAUUGGGCGUAAAGCGCGUGUAGGCGGUAUGGCAAGUCGGGUGUGAAAGCCCUCAGCUUAACUGAGGAAGUGCGCCCGAAACUGCAGAGCUUGAAUACCGGAGAGGAUGGCGGAAUUCCCCAAGUAGAGGUGAAAUUCGUAGAUAUGGGGAGGAACACCGGUGGCGAAGGCGGCCAUCUGGACGGCUAUUGACGCUGAGACGCGAAAGCGUGGGGAGCAAACAGG
rnacentral:rRNA from 1 species